UGUUGGGCUUAUUAAUUAAAACACUUCAAUUUUUAAAUAUUUGAUUUAAUUUCGAGGCACUAGGAAGUUACAAUAUUGCAAUGUUAACACUUCAAGACGUAGUUAUAAACUGAACAGAUAUUAUUAAAUUAGAGUGAAUUUAUAUUUUUCUGAAGGAAGUCAUAUUCACAACUAUAUUAAUAAGGAGCUAAUUUUUGUAUAUUUUAUUCAUAUAAACCAACACGCCCCCUCAAAAAUUAAUCCUUAUUUAUUACAAUGCAAUUUUUGUAUAUUAUAUCAGUCUUAUCUUCCUAGUGCUACCCUGGGAGUAAAAUAUAUUUACAAUGGUCCAACAUUUGUUGCAAAGGAUCAGGAAAACCAGGGAAAACCUGACCAGACCAUAAAUCAUUUAUAACAGUAAUUAUAAAUUAAACAAUAUAAAUCAAUGGAUUAUUCUAAACCAAUUUUAGGUCUUAAGUAUUGAAAAGACACAGCUGGAAGUGGCUUCGUUAGGAUAUCUGCAAGCUGCUGACCUGUGGGAAUAUAAUUUAGUUUAAUUAUAUUUCUUUCUACUUGCUCUCUUGAAAAAUGAUACUUUAUAUCAAUAUGUUUUGAUCUUUUAUGAUUACUUGGAUUACUGGCAAUACAAAUACACCCAUUAUUAUCCUCAUAAAUCGGUAUAGGUUUUUCAAUACAAAAAUUAAUGCUGUUCGCCAGUGACUUGAGCCACAAUGCCUCUUUAACAACUUCAUAUAAAGCCAUAUAUUCAGCUUCAGUAGAAGAAGCAGCUACUGAUGUUUGCCUCUUUGUAUUCCAGGUAAUCGUACAUUGAUCAAAUAACAUAAACAAGUAUCCUGUAGUGCUUUUUCUAUCACUAUUAUCAUUGCCACCCCAGUCAGAAUCUACAUAACCACUUAGUAUAUUAUCAUAGUUGCUACAUUUUCGGUAUUGACUUUAAUACCAAGGAAUAAUUUAAUAUCUUGUGAAUCUGUCAUUUGAAAUUUUUUUCAUUAAAUAAUUCUUUACAUCAUUCAUUAUAAUAAUAUCACCACAAGCUAUCACUAAAUCAUCAACAUACAAUACUAAAUAAACGUUUUUAUUUAUAUUCCUAUUGUCUAAAAUGUAUAUACACCUGUCUACUAAUGAAUUUUGGAAACCUUUUCCUUUAAUAAAUUGUUCAAAAACUUGAAACCAGCAUCUAGCCGCUUGCUUAAGACCGUAUAAAGCUUUAUUUAAUUUACAUACAUAAUUAUCUUUACUUUGUAUACCUUCAGGUACUUUCAUGUAUAUUUCCUCACUUAGUUCACCAUUUAAAAAUGCAGUUUUUACGUCUAAAUGGUGAAUUAAUAAACUAAAUUGAUUAGCAAAGGCAACGAUAAAACGAAAACUAGCUAUUCUGGCAACUGGUGCAAAAGUUUCAUCAUAAUCGCAAAGAUAUUUUUGACUAAAACCUCUAGCCACUAAUCUAGCCUUAUAUCUUAAAGGUUUUCCAAAUUCAUCAUUUUUAAUAUUAAAAAUCCAUUUGCAAUCUACAAUAUUUUUACCUAUCGGUUUAGGAACUAAAGUCCAAGUAUUAUUGAUUAAAAGUGAAUUUAACUCAUCCUUGAUAGCAUUUUCCCAUAAGAUUUUAUCAUCACGAGAUUCUAUUUCACUAUAUGAAUUAGGUACAUUACAUCCUACAUACAUUAGAUAAUCAUUUUCAAUUUUAUCAUAACGGAUAGGGCGCUUAUUCUUUAAUCUAUCACUCCUUCUAAGUUCCUGCGUGUUAACUGCGUUUUCACUUUGAUUGUUACUUAAUUGUGAAGUUACAUUUUUAGUAUUAACUUUGCGAAUUUUUAUGGGACUGUUAUAUAUUUCAUCAGAUUUAUUUGCAUUUGAUUUAGAGCUACUAGGCUCCUGAGACUUUAAUAACACUGAUUUAAAUGCAUCAGUUUCAUUACAGG
rnacentral:misc_RNA from 1 species